AACAUAAAGAAAAAGAAGGGGGGAUAAAUAGGCACAUAUGACUUCAUUAAGGCUUGUUUUCUUUCUUUGUUCAGGUUGGAACAUAAGUUUACCUCUAACUCUUGUCUGAGUCAUGAAGAAUGGAGAAACAGAAGAGGUUUUAUAAGCAGACGGUACCUACUCUUACUACUGGACUUUAUGAGAAAGGAGAUUAUGCUUUCAGCAUCACUGCAAAGACCAGAUGAAGUGCUGUGUCUCAAGGAGAAGUGAGCAGUGCAAGCUAUACCUUGAACAGCCUGCUGCUGUUAUUGUUGCUGCUGCUGUCAGACUACCUGUCUUGGCCCUUCUAUCUGAGCACACAGAGGGAAAGCAAGCCCUGUAUCAGCACAUGUGAACAG
rnacentral:lncRNA from 1 species